rnacentral:tRNA from 1 species
UGGGGUGUAGCCAAGCGGUAAGGCACAGGACUUUGACUCCUGCACGCCCUGGUUCGAAUCCAGGCACCCCA